AGAAAACCAUAUGAUUGGACAACCAGGUAUACCAGGACAGAAAGGGGAGAAUGGAUAUCAGGGACUUCCUGGACCAUCAGGACCGAAAGGUGACAGAGGAUCCAUAGGUCUACCAGGCUUCACAGGCCAACCAGGAAUGCAAGGACAAAAGGGAGAGAAGGGCGAGGCUUCAUAUCUCACUCGCAGGAGGAAGAGGAGCACAGCCAUUUAGCUAGUGUGCCUAAAACAUGUACAUAUUUACUCUAUUCUAUUCUUUUUUCUUUCUUGCUUUAGAUCAAUUUAUUACAACAGCUAAAUAUAUUUACAUUGAAUUAACAAGCAUCACAUGAUCAAAUUCACCUUUAUGAUGGCAGUUUUAAUGAAAUUUUGUUUUGCUAAUGUUUUGAUUUUCUUGCAUGAAUGCAGAAUGGGAUUGAACAUAAUCUGUGGAUGUGCUUUAUAUUCUGCUUUUUGUCAUUUGUGCUGUUAAAAUGCUUUAAUUAGACUCAAAAGUGGCUUAACUUUUAAA